rnacentral:rRNA from 1 species
CGCCUGGGGAGUGCGGCCGCAAGGUUAAAACUCAAAUGAAUUGACGGGGGCCCGCACAAGCGGUGGAGCAUGUGGUUUAAUUCGACGCAACGCGAAGAACCUUACCUGGCCUUGACAUCCAGAGAGCUUUCCAGAGAUGGAUUGGUGCCUUCGGGAACUCUGGGACAGGUGCUGCAUGGCCGUCGUCAGCUCGUGUCGUGAGAUGUUGGGUUAAGUCCCGUAACGAGCGCAACCCCUAUCCCUGGUUGCUAGCAGGUAAUGCUGAGAACUCCAGGGAGACUGCCGGUGACAAACCGGAGGAAGGUGGGGAUGACGUCAGGUCAUCAUGGCCCUUACGGCCAGGGCUACACACGUGCUACAAUGGCGCGUACAGAGGGCUGCCAACUCGCGAGAGUGAGCCAAUCCCUUAAAACGCGUCGUAGUCCGGAUCGGAGUCUGCAACUCGACUCCGUGAAGUCGGAAUCGCUAGUAAUCGCGAAUCAGAAUGUCGCGGUGAAUACGUUCCCGGGCCUUGUACACACCGCCCGUCACACCAUGGGAGUGGAUUGCACCAGAAGUAGUUAGUCUAACCUUCGGGAGGACGAUUACCACGGUGUGGUUCAUGACUGGGGGUGAAGUCGUAACAAGGUAACCGUA